rnacentral:rRNA from 1 species
UACGAAGGGGGCUAGCGUUGCUCGGAAUCACUGGGCGUAAAGCGCACGUAGGCGGCUUUUUAAGUCAGGGGUGAAAUCCUGGAGCUCAACUCCAAAACUGCCUUUGAUACUGAGAAGCUUGAGUCCGGGAGAGGUGAGUGGAACUGCGAGUGUAGAGGUGAAAUUCGUAGAUAUUCGCAAGAACACCAGUGGCGAAGGCGGCUCACUGGCCCGGUACUGACGCUGAGGUGCGAAAGCUAGGGGAGCAAACAGG